GACGAACCGUGCGAACGUUAUUCGGAAUCACUGGGCUUAAAGCGCGUGUAGGCGGGAGGGCACGUCCGUCGCUGAAAUCCCCCGGCUCAACCGGGGAACGGGCACGGAUACGACCUUCCUGGAGGGGCGUAGGGGGACCUGGAACUUCCGGUGGAGCGGUGAAAUGCGUUGAGAUCGGAAGGAACGCCCGUGGCGAAAGCGAGGUCCUGGACGCCUACUGACGCUGAGACGCGAAAGCCAGGGGAGCGAACGGG
rnacentral:rRNA from 1 species